AUUGAACGCUGGCGGCAGGCCUAACACAUGCAAGUCGAGCGGAUGAAGGGAGCUUGCUCCUGGAUUCAGCGGCGGACGGGUGAGUAAUGCCUAGGAAUCUGCCUGGUAGUGGGGGAUAACGUCCGGAAACGGGCGCUAAUACCGCAUACGUCCUGAGGGAGAAAGUGGGGGAUCUUCGGACCUCACGCUAUCAGAUGAGCCUAGGUCGGAUUAGCUAGUUGGUGGGGUAAAGGCCUACCAAGGCGACGAUCCGUAACUGGUCUGAGAGGAUGGUCAGUCACACUGGAAGUGAGACACGGACCAGACUCCUACGGGAGGCAGCAGUGGGGAAUAUUGGACGAUGGGCGAAAGCCUGAUCCAGCCAUGCCGCGUGUGUGAAGAAGGUCUUCGGAUUGUAAAGCACUUUAAGUUGGGAGGAAGGGCAGUAAGUUAAUACCUUGCUGUUUUGACGUUACCAACAGAAUAAGCACCGGCUAACUUCGUG
rnacentral:rRNA from 1 species